CCUACGGGGGGCAGCAAUGGGGGAUAUUGCACAAUGGGCGGAACCCUGAUGCAGCGACGCCGCGUGGGUGAAGAAGCGCCUCGGCGCGUAAAGCCCUGUCAGCAGGGAAGAAAAUGACGGUACCUGAAGAAGAAGCCCCGGCUAACUACGUGCCAGCAGCCGCGGUAAUACGUAGGGGGCAAGCGUUAUCCGGAUUUACUGGGUGUAAAGGGGGCGCAGACGGCAAUGCAAGCCAGGAGUGAAAGCCCGGGGCCCAACCCCGGGACUGCUCUUGGAACUGCGUGGCUAGAGUGCAGGAGGGGCAGGCGGAAUUCCUGGUGUAGCGGUGAAAUGCGUAGAUAUCAGGAGGAACACCGGUGGCGAAGGCGGCCUGCUGGACUGCAACUGACGUUGAGGCCCGAAAGCGUGGGGAGCAAACAGGAUUAGAUACCCGGGUAGUC
rnacentral:rRNA from 1 species